UUUAUUAAAAAAAUAUCAGCUAUUAUUGUCAAGAAAUCAAUUUGUUUGAUUUAAGAUUUAAAAGGUUUUAAUAAAACAAAUCUACACGAAUCCUGACCACCAAAAAAUAACAGCUUUUGAAAGUAAUUAUCUAAAGUCAAACAAGAAAUUUAAGGAUUUUAAAACAUUUAAGCCACAGAAGCUGCUGCCAAAGUGAAACAAAUAUACUAUCCAAUCAUAAGACUACGUCUACUAUCGGAGAUGAAACGUGUAGUGUUUGAGACGAGACGUUAGGUUUCGUUACUCACAAGAAACGGACGUUCGGUUUCGUUACUCACAAGAAACAGACAAGGUGAGGAGAACGUGAGCUCCAAUGUCACUAGGGAUGUUAAUAUGGGUUUUGUUCUGUAGGGUUAGCCCAGCCCGCAUCCAUUUUUUUAACCCGAAGCCCGUUACAUUUUAUGUGGGUUAAAAUAGGACCGUCUAAUAUAACACAUGGGCUAACCCUAAAACCCUUUAUUUUUUUUUAUUUUUUUUAUGAAAACAAAUCACUGAAAGGCGUUGUUUUAAUUUUUUUUUCUCCAGUUCUUCAUCUUUCUUCGACGAUUCCACAUCGAGAGUUCCGCUUCAUGUGAUCUCAUUUCUUCUCCAGUUCUCCAUUGCCUGAUUGUAAUCCGGAGACACGAUUUCGUCUCCAGUUCUCCAGUCAUCGCCCUCAUCUCUCGCGAUCCUCUGUGUUGUGUCCGUCGAGCAAUCUCUUCUUCUCCUUGACAUCGGUGAAAAAAUCGAUAUAGGGUUUGUGGGUUUGUUGAAAUCGAUCUACAGGGUUUGUGGGUCUGUUGAAAUCGAUCUCUAAGAGUGGAGUCACGUAGCCAAGUUCUGAGCUUGGAGGAUACAUGUAAUUGUAAAGUCUUCACGAGACUUGUAGUGAAUUAUAUGAAUAAAAAUAUUUAAACUUUGUUUUUUUUCUUCAUAUUUUGAAUUUGGGGACAAAAAUGAAAAACACUUUUUCUAUUUAUAUAAUAAUAUCUUGAGUUUUUACA